AUACCAUGAUGAGGGCAAGCUUUAGUCAGCUCAUUUAAUUUUUCCUAGGCUUCAGUAAUUGACUCCCCAUCCUUUUGAUUGAAGUUUUGGAUGAGAUGCCUGUAGUGC
rnacentral:snoRNA from 1 species